AGAGAGAGACAUGCGCGCAUAUCAAUAAGCGGAGGAAAAGAAACUAACAAGGAUUCCCUUAGUAACGGCGAGUGAAGCGGGAAGAGCUCAAAUUUGAAAUCUUCAAGGUUUUACCUUGACGAAUUGUAGUUUAAAGAAGUGUUUUCUGCUGAGGUUUUGGUAAAAGUUCUUUGGAAUAGGACAUCAUAGAGGGUGAGAAUCCCGUAUUUGACCAUUAUUUUCAGCUUUGUGAUACACUUUCAAAGAGUCGGAUUGUUUGGGAAUGCAGUCCAAAAUGGGUGGUAAAUUUCAUCUAAAGCUAACUAUUGGCGAGAGACCGAUAGCGAACAAGUACCGUGAGGGAAAGAUGAAAAGAACUUUGAAAGGAGAGUUAAACAGUACGUGAAAUUGUCAAAAGGGAAGCGUUUGACACCAGUGUUGUUUUCUCGAAAAUCAAUUAAAAAUGGCUCGAUUUUGUAUUGCUGAGACCUUAAAAGCUCACUGUACAUUUUUCGUGUCUUUUUUAAUGCACUUUUCGUUUAACAAGUCAACAUCAGUUUCUUUUGUUGUAAAAGGGUCAUUGGAAGGUGGCUUUCUUUUCGGAGAAAGUGUUUAUAGGCCUUUGGCCUCUGCAAUCGGAGAGACUGAGGUCUGCAGCGUAGACUCUUCGGGGUUAGAUACAUUUGUGCUAAGUUAUAGCCUUUUCAUAGACAACUUGUUGACUAUAAUCAGUCAUGUAGCUUACUCGCUUAUGCUAUUUUACCUACGCUUAGGAUGUUGAAGUCAUCGUAUCGCGC
rnacentral:rRNA from 1 species